UACGGAGGUGGCGAGCGUUACUCGGAUUUACUGGGUGUAAAGGGCACGUAGGCGGUCUGAUAAGCCCUGCUUUAAAGGCUCCGGCUCAACCGGAGCAUGUGGUGGGGGACUGUCAGACUUGAGGACUGGAGAGGCAGACGGAAUUCCCGGUGUAAGGGUGAAAUCUGUAGAUAUCGGGAGGAACACCAGUGGCGAAGGCGGUCUGCUGGCCAGUUUCUGACGCUGAGGUGCGAAAGCUAGGGGAGCGAACAGGAUUAGAAA
rnacentral:rRNA from 1 species